GCCCGCUUGGCACACCGGUAAUGCGCCUCACUAGUACAUUCGUAACAUCUGGUAAAUUGUAUAAACAUAUUGCUUCUUGAAGCGUCGCCUACUGGGGAAGCUACAUAGUAUGAGGAUAUGACUGGUUCGACUCCAGUAGUGGGCA